AUUGAACGCUGGCGGCAGGCCUAACACAUGCAAGUCGAACGGUAACAGGAAACAGCUUGCUGUUUCGCUGACGAGUGGCGGACGGGUGAGUAAUGUCUGGGAAACUGCCUGAUGGAGGGGGAUAACUACUGGAAACGGUAGCUAAUACCGCAUAACGUCGCAAGACCAAAGAGGGGGACCUUCGGGCCUCUUGCCAUCGGAUUUGCCCAGAUGGGAUUAGCUAGUAGGUGGGGUAACGGCUCACCUAGGCGACGAUCCCUAGCUGGUCUGAGAGGAUGACCAGCCACACUGGAACUGAGACACGGUCCAGACUCCUACGGGAGGCAGCAGUGGGGAAUAUUGCACAAUGGGCGCAAGCCUGAUGCAGCAAUGCCGCGUGUAUGAAGAAGGCCUUCGGGUUGUAAAGUACUUUCAGCGGGGAUGAAGGGAGUAAAGUUAAUACCUUUGCUCAUUGACGUUACCCGCAGAGGAAGCCCCGGCUAACUACGUG
rnacentral:rRNA from 1 species